CCUACGGGAGGCAGCAGUGAGGAAUAUUGGUCAAUGGCCGAGAGGCUGAACCAGCCAAGUCGCGUGAGGGAAGACGGCCCUACGGGUUGUAAACCUCUUUUGUCGGGGAGCAAAGAGAGUCACGUGUGACUCAUUGAGAGUACCCGAAGAAAAAGCAUCGGCUAACUCCGUGCCAGCAGCCGCGGUAAUACGGAGGAUGCGAGCGUUGUCCGGAAUUACUGGGUGUAAAGGGAGCGUAGGCGGGGAUGCAAGUUGGGUGUCAAAACUACCGGCUCAACUGGUAGUCGCACUCAAAACUGCAGCUCUUGAGUGAAGUAGAGGCAGGCGGAAUUCCUAGUGUAGCGGUGAAAUGCGUAGAUAUUAGGAGGAACUCCGAUUGCGAAGGCAGCUCACUGGACUGCAACUGACACUGAGGCUCGAAAGUGUGGGUAUCAAACAGGAUUAGAUACCCGUGUAGUC
rnacentral:rRNA from 1 species